rnacentral:rRNA from 1 species
AUUGAACGCUGGCGGAAUGCUUUACACAUGCAAGUCGAGCGGCAGCGCGGGGGCAACCCUGGCGGCGAGCGGCGAACGGGUGAGUAACACAUCGGAACGUACCCAGUUGUGGGGGAUAGCCCGGCGAAAGCCGGAUUAAUACCGCAUCCGCACUGAGGGUGAACGGGGGGGAUCGCAAGACCCAUCGCAGUUGGAGCGGCCCAUGGCGGAUUAGCUAGUUGGUGAGGUAAAGGCUCACCAAGGCGACGAUCCGGAGCUGGUCUGAGAGGACGACCAGCCACACUGGAACUGAAACACGGUCCAGACGCCUACGGGAGGCAGCAGUGGGGAAUUUUGGACAAUGGGGGCAACCCUGAUCCAGCCAUUCCGCGUGAGUGAAGAAGGCCUGCGGGUUGUAAAGCUCUUUCGGCAGGAACGAAACGGUGGAGGCUAAUACCUUUCAUCAAUGACGGUACCUGAAGAAGAAGCACCGGCUAACUACGUGCCAGCCGCCGCAGUAA